rnacentral:rRNA from 1 species
GAAGUAAAAGUCGUAACAAGGUCUCCGUUGGUGAACCAGCGGAGGGAUCAUUACAGAGUUGCAAAACUCCCUAAACCAUUGUGAACGUUACCUAUACCGUUGCUUCGGCGGGCGGCCCCGGGGUUUACCCCCCGGGCGCCCCUGGGCCCCACCGCGGGCGCCCGCCGGAGGUCACCAAACUCUUGAUAAUUUAUGGCCUCUCUGAGUCUUCUGUACUGAAUAAGUCAAAACUUUCAACAACGGAUCUCUUGGUUCUGGCAUCGAUGAAGAACGCAGCGAAAUGCGAUAAGUAAUGUGAAUUGCAGAAUUCAGUGAAUCAUCGAAUCUUUGAACGCACAUUGCGCCCGCCAGCAUUCUGGCGGGCAUGCCUGUUCGAGCGUCAUUUCAACCAUCAAGCCCCCGGGCUUGUGUUGGGGACCUGCGGCUGCCGCAGGCCCUGAAAAGCAGUGGCGGGCUCGCUGUCGCACCGAGCGUAGUAGCAUACAUCUCGCUCUGGUCGCGCCGCGGGUUCCGGCCGUUAAACCACCUUUUAACCCAAGGUUGACCUCGGAUCAGUA